CUGUUGAAGAGACUGGAAGAAGAGUGGACCAAAAUCACACCAGAGCAGUGUGAAAGACUAGUGAUGUCCUGUGGCCGCAGAUGUGUUGAAGUCAUUCAAAACAAGGGCCUGUACACUUCCUACUGAUUGGUGACUGUAGAUGAGCGUUUUG